GAUGAAGAACGCAGCGAAAUGCGAUACGUAAUGUGAAUUGCAGAAUUCAGUGAAUCAUCGAAUCUUUGAACGCAUAUUGCGCUCUCUGGUAUUCCGGAGAGCAUGCUUGUUUGAGUAUCAGUAAACACCUCAACUUCCAUAUCUUUUUUGAAAUGGGAGUUGGACUUGAGUGAUCCCAACGCUUUUCCUCACCGAAAAGUGGCGGGUUACUUGAAAUGCAGGUGCAGCUGGACUUUUCUCUGAGCUAUAAGCAUAUCUAUUUAGUCUGCCUAAAAAACAGAUUAUUACCUUUGCUGCAGCUAACAUAAAGGAGAUUAGUUCUUCUGCUGACUGAUGCAGGAUUCACAAAGACGGCUUCGGCCGACUUUGUAAACUCGAUCUCAAAUCAAGUAAGACUACCCGCUGAACUUAAGCAUAUCAAUAAGCGGAGGA
rnacentral:misc_RNA from 1 species